CUGUGUAUCACUCUCUUUCCAAAGUGCUUUUCAUCUUUCCCUCACGGUACUUGUUCGCUAUCGGUCUCUCGCCAAUAUUUAGCUUUAGAUGGAGUUCACCACCCAUUUUGAGCUGCAUUCCCACAACAACUCGAACUCUUCCCAGAGAGCGCAUCACAAAAGCACUGAGCGUCCGUGCCAAAGACGGGAUUCUCACCCUCUAUGACGCUCCAUUCCAGGAGACUUGUGCACGGUCCAGCGCGGAAGACGCUUCUCUAAAUUACAACUCGAGCGGCCAAAGACCACCAGAUUUUAAAUUUGAGCUUUUCCCGCUUCACUCGCAGUUACUAGGGGAAUCCUUGUUAGUUUCUUUUCCUCCGCUUAUUGAUAUGCUUAAGUUCAGCGGGUAGUCUCACCCGAUUUGAGGUCAAGGUUUUCUUUUGUGGGACCAGCCUCUCCCGCCAAAGUAGACGGCAAAGACCAGAGCACCAUCGUUGUCCAUGGGACAGUUAGGAGCAGGCAUCCAAAGGGACAGUGCUAAAUCCCAAACGUAAAAACAUCUUAUCACGUCGGGGACCAGC
rnacentral:rRNA from 1 species